rnacentral:rRNA from 1 species
GGGGAAUAUUGCGCAAUGGGGGCAACCCUGACGCAGCCAUGCCGCGUGAAUGAAGAAGGCCUUCGGGUUGUAAAGUUCUUUCGGUAUUGAGGAAGGUUGAUGUAUUAAUAGUACAUCAAAUUGACGUUAAAUACAGAAGAAGCACCGGCUAACUCCGUGCCAGCAGCCGCGGUAAUACGGAGGGUGCGAGCGUUAAUCGGAAUAACUGGGCGUAAAGGGCACGCAGGCGGUUAUUUAAGUGAGGUGUGAAAGCCCCGGGCUUAACCUGGGAAUUGCAUUUCAGACUGGGUAACUAGAGUACUUUAGGGAGGGGUAGAAUUCCACGUGUAGCGGUGAAAUGCGUAGAGAUGUGGAGGAAUACCGAAGGCGAAGGCAGCCCCUUGGGAAUGUACUGACGCUCAUGUGCGAAAGCGUGGGGAGCAAACAGGAUUAGAUACCCUGGUAGUCCACGCUGUAAACGCUGUCGAUUUGGGGGUUGGGGUUUAACUCUGGCGCCCGUAGCUAACGUGAUAAAUCGACCGCCUGGGGAGUACGGCCGCAAGGUUA